AAAAGAGAAGCGAACAAGGCUCGCGUCUCCCAAAUCUGAUCUGAUUAUUUUAACGUCGGUGGUUGAACUGUCCCAUAUGUUUUUGCUAUAUAGAAGUCGACAGCCGAUAUAUCUGUUGCUGAUCAUUAGAGUUUUGAGGGCAGCGCUUGCGGGAGAACAUAUAAUUUGUAAGUGUCAGUUAUGGUUAACUCUCUGUUGCUUUAAAGUGAAAUAGAUGAGUUUGGUACAUAGAAUCAACAAGUCGACAUAUAUUCAAUCAAGAAAAGACGGUGAGAAAACAUAGAGGAUUGUUUUGGACCAACCCAAAACCAUGGAGGAUUCUAGUGCUUUUGCUGCUUUCCAGGCAGACGAUUCAGAGCGAACACCAGAUCACAGGGGCUGUAAACGUACACUAACUGAAGCUAGAGAAAAGCAAAAAACGAGCACGAUAGAAAACGCCUGCAAGAACAUAGGGUACAGAAAAUACAUCUUCCAGGAUUUAUACUUUAUAUGUUGAAUUAGAGACUAAUGCUUUACAAUUAAUUUGUAAAUGGAGGUGGAGUUCGUGAGACUUCAGAAUGUGGAGUCCCAGUGUGACGAUUUGAAGACCCAACUCGGGAUACGGACAAACACUAUUAGCGAAUUAGAGGAGGAGAACCAAAGGCUGAAGAAUAGGGAGUCACAUCUUAAUAAAAGAACAUAGGAAUUCGAUUAUGCUCUUCUUGAAAGGGCAGCACCUCUAAGACGACAUAACCAAGAACGAUUUUUUGCUUAAUUUUACCAGUAUAAUAUAACCUUUGAUUAAACUUUGCUUUGUUUUAAUUUGUCAAUGAAGAAUCCACUCCUCCAAGGGAAUCAAUUACAACCAAUGGUUCUAAUAGGUGGAGAGAUUAACCAAAUGGUAUGGACGGGGGCACAUCUUCCGCUGAUGCCAGAUUUAUGUAUCAGCUAAGAGGUCCAAACCCAAGUAAUUGCGGCAACACCAGCGGAGGGUGUCAUUGACGAGGAAACAAUAACCAAUCAGUUCACAACGAAUGUCCCGUUCCUGUUUGUGGCAUCCAAAACGGAGGAAGUGACUUGCAUCCGGCUGAGGGGCAAUUGCUCAGCGAGUCCCGAGGGGGGUUUGGUCCAGUACUUGUUCGAGUGGAUCCCUCACCACACCAACCAGAAAUCUUCGGAGAAUUUGGGAUGGCCUCCGGUAAAUGUUAGCUGGAUUCAGAAUUUGGCUCCAUCCGGCCCACGGGUUCAUCAUGUGGUGCUCAAAGCCAAGUUUCCAAUAAAAUUUCUGAUCUGGAAUUCAUUUGGAUACCUUUAGUUAGAGUGUUGUGAUGGAUCUUAUCAACCGUUUCCGACUGGCCAUUUUGUUCAUUGCUGAGACCCCAGAGUGGAAGAAAUCAAGGACACGUUUCAUUUUGAUGCUCAUCGUGUUCUGCCUAAUUUUGAAUUUGUGGGAGGGAUGUGGCUGUUGUGGCGCUCUGAUGUGGUGGAGGUUGAAGUUCUUUCCUUCACAGAGCAAGAAAUCCACGCUAUGUUCAGUCAUGGCUUCUAGCAUCACCAACUCAUAGUGAAGAUGCAGCAAAUAAUGUGCAUAUUACUCACGGUCCAAGGAGUUCUCAAGGUGGUAGAAUGUACACGGAUGAGCUUGUGCACGAUUUUGCAAAGAAACUUGAUGCCAAAUACAAGAGCCAAGUGGAUUUUUCAGACUUCAGUGCCUUGAUGGAGGGAGUGGUAAAAAGUGGGACGGUCACUUUACCCCCUUCUCUGGCUCUUAUUGAUAAGAAGAUCGAGAAGAAGUAUGGUGAGAUUGCCGCAAAGAACAAACAAAGCAGCUGCACAGCUAUGCCUGGCCGUAUUCUGCUGUGUGCGGCAAUCAAAGAGAUGGAUGAGCUGCAACUUGAGAGCAUCGACCAGAACAAGAUGUUGUUAUGGGGGGAUGCAAUCAAUAGUGCUCUCAAUAUCAAUUUCAAAGUGGACUUUGCCAUAGAGCACUUGAAGAAAAUUGGCCAUGCAUAUUUUGGUUUUAAAGCAAGGAAUGAUCAAGAGCUCAGGAGCCUCGAGGAGAAGAUACCAACAUUACAGACUGAACUAUCUGACUUGGAGGAAAAGCUGGCUAAGAAAGCAGAAGAGCAGAAUUCUGAGGUGAGGAAGGAGUGUCUGCGUGAUGCCGAGUAUUUUCAGGGCAAAUCUCUUAGUGCUGGCCUAUUGCAUUAGUAUCGUUUCAACCAGUGUGUUGGUUCCCAUCUCUUGAGCCCGCCAGGUGCACAUAGUUUGUAAGUUUCUUGUUCGAAUCGGCCCAAUCCAUUGGAGUCCUGAACUGAUUUAAGGUGAGUCCAGAUUUCUGCAUCACAGUGAGGGGAGUACGACGACCCAAUUACUCGCUUUUACUUUCUUUGGCUAAAGAAACAUGAAAAUAUUGACAAAAGUCGAAACAGAUUACUGUACGCAGUCGCCCAAUAAGGAAAGGCAUGCAGUUCCCAGACGUUACCUCCGCUGAGAAUGGUAAAUAUAACGCUCUCAAAUUGCUGUCGAACGAGAGGCCCUCGCGCGACGCAGAAACCACACCCAUACGCGCGCUCUCCGCAGAUGACGCCAGUUUUCGGGAUCGAGCGUAUUUAUCCUAAACAAUUAGAAAAACUCGAGUGUAUGGGCUCGAGCGACAAGGAAAGCAGAGGCCGGCAAUUAUAUAAUUAUGCGGGCGGUGAACGAAAGUUUCAAACGCCUCCUAAUCGGUUUGACCUUCUUGCUCAACUUAAUGUUCUCGAAUGGCCGAAAACUGUGUGAGGGACCACUUGUACUCUCGCGACGAGCAAAUCGAUUCGUUCGAAUAUCGCCCGUUUGGCUUUUCCGGCGAGGAUUUGACUGCAAUAAAAAUAAAUAUUUA